UAAAGUGCGAAAUGAAGUGCGAUUUGCAUGAAUCUGUGAGUCAUCAUAUCUUUGAACGCAACUUGCGCCAAUUGUUUGGCAUGUCUGUUUGAGAACCGAUUACAUUUGCUUUAAAAGCGAUAUGACCGAGUAUCAUCGAUACUUGGUUGAAAAGAAGCAUGAUUGGUGUGAUAUCAGUGGCACCGUGUGCUAGAGCCUCGUGCUUCUCACGGUCCAUCGAUCAAACCAAAACCCAAAUAUAUCAUCAUACUUUUGGUCUCAAAUCAGGCAAGAUUACCCGCUGAACUUAA
rnacentral:misc_RNA from 1 species